rnacentral:rRNA from 1 species
GAUGAACGCUGGCGGCGUGCCUAAUACAUGCAAGUCGAGCGAACAGACGAGGAGCUUGUUCCUCUGACGUUAGCGGCGGACGGGUGAGUAACACGUGGAUAACCUCCUUAUAAGACUGGGAUAACUUCGGGAAACCGGCGCUAAUACCGGAUAAUAUAUUGAACCGCAUGGUUCAAUAGUGAAAGACGGUUUUGCUGUCACUUCUCGAUGGUUCCGCGCCGCAUUAGCUAGUUGGUAAGGUAAAGGCUUAUGAAGGCAACUAUGCGUAGCCGAGCUGGUGGGGUGGUCGGCGGCCUUGGAGGGUGACCACGGUCCAGACGACUGCGGUAGGCAGCAGUAGGGAAUCGUCCGCAAUGGGCGGAAGCUUUACGGAGCAACGCGGCGUGAGUGGUGGAGGUCUUCGGAUCGUAAAACUCUGUUAUUAGUGAAGAACAAAUGUGUAAGUAACUGUGCACGUCUUGACGGUACCGAGUCAGAAAGCCACGGCUAACUACGUG